rnacentral:rRNA from 1 species
AGCGAACGCUGGCGGCAGGCUUAACACAUGCAAGUCGAGCGGGCACUUUCGGGUGUCAGCGGCGGACGGGUGAGUAACGCGUGGGAACGUGCCCUCUGGUUCGGAAUAACUCAGGGAAACUUGAGCUAAUACCGGAUACGCCCUUCUGGGGAAAGGCUUGCUGCCGGAGGAUCGGCCCGCGUCUGAUUAGCUAGUUGGUGAGGUAACGGCUCACCAAGGCGACGAUCAGUAGCUGGUCUGAGAGGAUGAUCAGCCACACUGGGACUGAGACACGGCCCAGACUCCUACGGGAGGCAGCAGUGGGGAAUAUUGGACAAUGGGCGCAAGCCUGAUCCAGCCAUGCCGCGUGAGUGAUGAAGGCCUUAGGGUUGUAAAGCUCUUUUAUCCGGGACGAUAAUGACGGUACCGGAGGAAUAAGCCCCGGCUAACUUCGUG